rnacentral:rRNA from 1 species
GACGAACGCUGGCGGCGUGCCUAAUACAUGCAAGUUGAGCGAUGAAGAUUGGUGCUUGCACCAAUUUGCAGAGCAGCGAACGGGUGAGUAACGCGUGGUGAAUCUGCCUUUGAGCGGGGGACAACAUUUGGAAACGAAUGCUAAUACCGCAUAACAACUUUAAACAUAAGUUUUAAGUUUGAAAGAUGCAAUUGCAUCACUCAAAGAUGAUCCCGCGUUGUAUUAGCUAGUUGGUGAGGUAAAGGCUCACCAAGGCGAUGAUACAUAGCCGACCUGAGAGGGGGCUAGGCCACACUGGGACGGGGACAUGGCCCAAAAUCCUACGGGAGGCAGAAGUAGGGAAUUUUCGGCAAUGGACGAAAGUCUGACCGAGCAACGCCGCGUGAGUGAAGAAGGUUUUCGGAUCGUAAAACUCUGUUGGUAGAGAAGAACGUAGGUGAGAGUGGAAAGCUCAUAAAGUGACGGUAACUACCCAGAAAGGGACGGCUAACUACGUG